UACAGGGGGGGCAAGCAUUGUUCGGAAUUACUGGGCGUAAAGGGUUCGUAGGUGGCCAACUAAGUCAGACGUGAAAUCCCUCAGCUUAACUGGGGAACUGCGUCUGAUACUGGAUGGCUUGAGUGUAGGAGAGGAAUGCGGAAUUCCAGGUGUAGCGGUGAAAUGCGUAGAUAUCGGGAGGAACACCAGUGGCGAAGGCGACUUCCUGGCCUGUUCUUGACGCUGAGGCGCGAAAGCUAGGGUAGCAAACGGG
rnacentral:rRNA from 1 species